rnacentral:rRNA from 1 species
ACGUAGGAUGCAAGCGUUGUCCGGAAUUAUUGGGCGUAAAGAGUUCGUAGGCGGCAUGUCAAGUUUGGUGUUAAAGCCCGGGGCUCAACCCCGGUUUCGCACUGGAUACUGGCAAGCUAGAGUGCAGAAGAGGCAAGUGGAAUUCCCAGUGUAGCGGUGAAAUGCGUAGAUAUUGGGAGGAACACCAGUGGCGUAAGCGGCUUGCUGGACUGUAACUGACGCUGAGGAGCGAAAGCCAGGGGAGCGAAUGG